rnacentral:ncRNA from 14 species
GGAUGGCCGAGCGGUCUAAGGCGCCAGUUUAAGGCACUGGUCUUCGGGCGUGGGUUCGAAUCCCACUCGUG